rnacentral:rRNA from 1 species
UUCCGGUUGAUCCCGCCGGAGGCUACCGCUAUUGGAGUUCGAUUAAGCCAUGCGAGUCCAGAGCUUUCGGAGCUCGGCGUACCGCUCAGUAACACGUGGGUAACCUAACCUAUGCAGGGGAAUAACCUCGGGAAACUGAGUAUAAUGCCCCAUAGUCCACUACGCCUGGAACGGUGAGUGGAUCAAAGCUCAGGCGGCAUAGGAUGGGCCUGCGGCGUAUCAGGUUGUAGGGGGUGUAAAGUACCCUCUAGCCAUCUACGCGUACGGGUGUUGGGAGACAUAGCCCGGAGAUGGAUUCUGAGACACGAAUCCAGACCCUACGGGGUGCAGCAGGCGCGAAAACUUGGCAAUGCGAGCAAUCGUGACCAGGGAACUCCAAGUGGCUGGGGUAAGACCCAGUCUUUUCAGAACUCUUCAAAGGUUUUAGAAUAAGGGGUGGGUAAGGACGGUGCCAGCCGCCGCGGUAAUACCGGCGCCUCAAGUGGUAGUCGCUUUUAUUGGGCCUAAAACGUCCGUAGCCGGUUUGGUACAUUCGUGGGUAAAUCAACUCGCUCAACGAGUUGAAUUCUGCGAGGACGGCCAGACUUGGGACCGGGAGAGGUGUGGGGUACUCUCAGGGUAGGGGUAAAAUCCUGUCAUCCUGAGAGGACCACCUGUUGCGAAGGCGCCACACUAGAACGGAUCCGACGGUCAGGGACGAAGCCUAGGGGCACGAACCGGAUUAGAUACCCGGGUAGUCCUAGGUGUAAACGCUGUGGACUUGAUGUUGGAGGAGCUCCGAGCUCUUUCAGUGUCGAAGCGAAGGUGAUAAGUCCACUGCCUGGGAAGUACGGUCGCAAGGCUGAAACUUAAAGGAAUUGGCGGGGGAGCACCGCAACCUGAGGAUUGUGCGGUUUAAUUGGAUUCAACGCCGG